rnacentral:rRNA from 1 species
UGACUNGAGUGCAGAAGGGGAGAGUGGAAUUCCAUGUGUAGCGGUGAAAUGCGUAGAUAUAUGGAGGAACACCAGUGGCGAAAGCGGCUCUCUGGUCUGUCACUGACGCUGAGGCUCGAAAGCGUGGGUAGCGAACAGGAUUAGAUACCCUGGUAGUNCACGCCGUAAACGAUGAGUGCUAGGUGUUAGGCCCUUUCCGGGGCUCAGUGCCGGAGCUAACGCAAUAAGCACUCCGCCUGGGGAGUACGACCGCAAGGUUGAAACUCAAAGGAAUUGACGGGGGCCCGCACAAGCGGUGGAGCAUGUGGUUUAAUUCGAAGCAACGCGAAGAACCUUACCAGGUCUUGACAUCCCGAUGCUAUUCUUAGAGAUAGGAAGUUACUUCGGUACAUCGGAGACAGGUGGUGCAUGGUUGUCGUCAGCUCGUGUCGUGAGAUGUUGGGUUAAGUCCCGCAACGAGCGCAACCCUUAUUGUUAGUUGCCAUCAUUAAGUUGGGCACUCUAGCGAGACUGCCGGUAAUAAACCGGAGGAAGGUGGGGAUGACGUCAAAUCAUCAUGCCCCUUAUGACCUGGGCUACACACGUGCUACAAUGGUCGGUACAACGAGUUGCGAGCCGGUGACGGCAAGCUAAUCUCUGAAAGCCGAUCUCAGUUCGGAUUGGAGGCUGCAACUCGCCUCCAUGAAGUCGGAAUCGCUAGUAAUCGCGGAUCAGCACGCCGCGGUGAAUACGUUCCCGGGCCUUGUACACACCGCCCGUCACACCACGAGAGUUUGUAACACCCGAAGUCGGUGAGGUAACCUUUUAGGGGC